rnacentral:lncRNA from 1 species
AGGUUAAGGAAUUUUCUUUAUUUUUUACAAAUUAAGACUAUGCAGAUUUCAUAUAUUUCUGAAUCAAAAACACCUUUGUCUUCACAGUAUGAGUUAGAAUGCAGCCUGAGCUGAAAAUCAAGAAACUAGAAAAGAAAGUGGUAGAGAUAACUAUAUUAAAAAUCUGUUAGGUAUUUUCUUUAAAAGUAGGUGUUUUUUUUUUUUUCUUUCUUUUUUUUUUUUAAUAUCUUGUCAUUCUUGGCACUGUUUCUAAAGAAAAACUCCAUUAUCCCAAGCAAAAAGCACAGAAGGUGGAGUUUGGCUUCAAGAGAUGUUAACUCAAAAUCUUAGGCCUAGCAGAGAAUCACCAAAUUUAUGGAGAGUUAACAGGGGUUUAACAGGAAGGAAGUGCCUUUAGUAAGUUCUCAAGCCAGAGGCUGGAGGCAGCAGCUAAAUCAGAGGACAGCAUCCUCAGUGAAAGUGAGCCAUUCGGGGUGGCAUGUCACUCCAGGAAUAAACACAACUUAGAAACAAAUGAUUUCGUAGGAUAGCACAGUGACAUGGUGCACUGUGAACCUGAGGCCACUGUGUCAAACUGUGCACUGGUUGUGAAUAGGGAGAGCCAAAAAUUAUGUCCUACUGGUAAUGAGCUUUCAAUGGCUCGAUCCUCUCACACUGAAGCUCUGUAGAGCAGCUCAGAGCCACAACCACUCCCAACAUUGACCCUUCUGGGGGUAGCUGUCUGUGGCAGCCCACAGGAAGGAGCUGGAGAUCCCCAUUAGGACUGUCCACCCACACUUGAAGCCACAAAACUGCAGGGAUUGGGGCUCUCACUGGUUUGGUCGCCUAACUCCCGCCUAAAAGGCCACAAAUUUCUGGAAAACAGGUAACAGACCAAAAACUAAAGUGCAUCAGUAAAAUGAACAUUUAUCUACUGCCCCGAAUCUCUGGCUUGACACUACCUACUGGUGUCCAGUUGGAGACAGACUAAAAUGCACUGAAGGACUAUUAGGAUUGCUGCCUCCUAAGUUAUCACAGCCUCGCUCUGUUGAUGUGAAUGAGGAACUGCUUGGUUGUUAAAGGAGAUUUUGCUCCCUGCUGCCCCAAACAGGUCCUUAUCUAGGUUUGCUCCCCACUGCCCCAAACAGGUCUGGCAGGAUUGGUUACAAUGAUCUCCAGAGGCUCAACCAUUCCCCUUCCCUAUCCUUGCUUGGGACAUUUAAUCACAGCCACCUAGUAGAGGCCGCUCAGUAAGGGGAUAACAAACUAAAAAAACAAAAACAGGGCAAGUUUAGGGGAACCCUACGAUGCUGUACCUUGAUACACAUAAUCAGCCUUUUCAAAAAUGCCUGACAAGAAUUAGUCUUUCCUUUGUGCUGAAGUCUUCCCACCCAUGGAUGGAAGCAGGCUGACUCCCUGAGGGUCAGGCAAGGGGUGGGAAAGGGAACACAUUACUUUUGUGAAGGCAAAGCAGAAAGGUGUGUUUGCCAGACCAGCAUGGGCAGCUCAGAGGGAGCAAAGCAUCCACCAGAAGAGGCUCUCCAUUUUCUUUGUAGGGCCUGACAGUUGAGAUUUGAGGCUGAGUUAACAAUGGGACCACUGAACUUCUUUCCAAUGGAAAACUCACGGCCCAGUCCCACAGGAACUGUGCGCAUACCAAACAACAAUGAGGAAGGAAGGGCCGGGUGGCUCUACCAAACAGUUCAGGUCCACUGGGUGAAUGAAGCCUGGUGGGAAAGCGGACUCCUGAAGUUGGCGCCCUCUGCUGGUCCCACUUCUCAUCGUGGCGGGUCGACUGCCUGAGUAGAGGAAGAGGCUACAGAUGGGGUUGACAAAAAAGGGAGUGAGGGGAACCCCAGGAAGAUGAAGCCAAACUCCAAACUAUAUUCUGCUAAUCAGUUUUUUGAUCAAAAAAUUCAAAAUAGAGGAAACCACAAAGUACAAAAGCUUUUCUGAUGCUUUUCAUUAUCACAGAACACACCACCUGUAAUGUGUGCAAAAAGGAAAUGAGGGGUGGAAGGAGAGGAAGUCUAAUUGGGAAAGGCUGGAUGGUCACUUCAUUUCUUCUCUUUCUUCUUAUCCUAGAAAUGGAGAAAAAUCACCCAAUUAAUUUUUUGACAUUUGACAUUCAAGCUAAAACUCUUGAGUGAGCAUUUAGUUAGGGACUAGAAGUGAGCCAGACAAUUAAAAAGAAAUGAGAAAUGCUUCCUUAGCUCAGCAAGAACUGAAUCUUAACCACAUCCUACUGGUGGUUCCCAAAGUUGCCGACAGACCGACCAAGAAUAAAGGUUAAGCAGCUGUCCCCACCCCCACCCCAGGAGUGCCGAGGUGGGCUGCCUGACCACUCUAGGCUAUUCACAGCCACUACAGCUCAGAUCCCAACAGUGAAGGCUGCAGAUGGCACUCUAUCCUCAAAGAGUGAAACUAGAGGCCAAGACCACCAACCAACCAUUAGGCGCGAGAAGUGCUCCACCCUGCAAAGUGAGCAUGACUCUGGCAUAAACUGACAUUCAGAAAUAAUUUGGUCCAGCAGAAUUCUUCAUUCAAUCUUGGAUGGAAGCCCAAUGUAUUAAGGAAUGAAAAUUCAGUUGCUUGUUCUGAAACUUGUACAUCUGCCUAGUGCUCAGUCCAACCAUGGCAUAGCCCAGACAGAGCCAGCAAUCCUAUCUGGUCAACUACUCCCGCUACCACUAUGCUAUCUCUAAGCUCCAUAAGGUCUAUAAAGAAAAGCUCAUUUCAUUUGUUUCCCCCACUGCUUGACUCAACUACGUUAGAUACUCAUUAGCCCUAUAUAGAAUGCUUCCUUGGAAAAAAAAAUUAACAAAUGGAUAAAAUUAGUCUACUUCUGAAAUUUACAACGUCCUCCACAAUACCUUUCUCUGAGUCACAACUAUAUAGCCUUUAAAUUAUUCAUGUAGCAGGUUGUGUUUACUGCCACUGAAGCUUUUUUCCCUUUCAUACUAAACGCAGGAAUUAGUUAAAAAAAUUUUUUUUUCACUUGCUGCUUUUUUUCUAACAACUGAAGACUUCUGGCUUACCUCUUACUCAGUGGCCUGCCUUACAGUUACCCUGGACCUAACACAGUGUGUGAGCAAGUUUUCAAAUCUGAAGUAUACACACAUGCCAAGCUCAGGAGCCAUUAUUGUCUCAUCUUUGGGUUGUAGGCUAACUAACCUUUUCAUUCAUGGCCAGGAUCAUCAUGAGUUUUCUGAAGACAGUAAUGAAAUCUAAGAAGAGAUCAAUGCAGUGCCUG